CCGAGCUGGAGCGCGAGAUCCGCAUCAUCAACACGGAGCAGUACAUGCACUCGCUGACGUGGCAGCAGGCGCUCACGGGGCUGCUGGAGCGCAUGCAGGUGUGGGCCGGGGUGGCUGUGGGAGGGCCAGGGCGGUAGCCUCCUGGGUGCACACACCCAAUGCACACUUUGUGUCCCCAGACCUAUCAGGACGCGGAGUCGAGGCAGGUGCUGGCUGCCUGGAUGAAAGAGCGGCAGGAGCUGAGGUGCAUCACCAAGGCCCUGUUCAAUGCGCAGUUCGGCAGCAUCUUCCGCACCUUCCACAACCCCACCUACUUCUCGAGGCGCCUCGUGCGCUUCUCUGACCUCUACAUGGCCUCCCUCAGCUGCCUGCUCAACUACCGCGUGGACUUCACCUUCUACCCACGCCGUACGCCGCUGCAGCACGAGGCACCCCUCUGGAUGGACCAGCUCU
rnacentral:sRNA from 1 species